UGGUGAAUUACUUGAGGUUCAGCUACCAACCUGGGGGUGUCUAGGUUGUUUUCCCUUUUGUGAUUAAGCGACAAGGUUUAUUCCUCUGAACAAAACCAAACAACCCAUGCUGAGUAGGACUGGAGCUUCCGUUCAAACAGCAGUGCACCAGCUGCCCAAAGGAAGAUCACCGAACCUCAGUGGGAUUUUCCCUGCAGCUGCAUCUUCUGACUCCUUGUCAUUCUUAUUCCAGGGAACAAGUAGAAUCACUAGAUUACCCAAGAAGAAGAUGACUCUUUCAUUGAAGUGAAAAGGAGCUAGUACCACACCUUCAUCUAAAACCAACUGCAUACUUAUUACUUUUCUUCAAAUUCUC
rnacentral:lncRNA from 1 species